UAAGAGUUUGAUCCUGGCUCAGGACGAACGCUGGUGGCGUGCUUAACACAUGCAAGUCGAACGGUGAAGUCCCAGCUUGCUGGGAUGGAUCAGUGGCGAACGGGUGAGUAACACGUGAGCAACCUGCCCUCCACUUCGGGAUAAGCCUUGGAAACGGGGUCUAAUACCGGAUAUGAGCUCGCAUCGCAUGGUGUGGGUUGGAAAGUUUUUCGGUGGGGGAUGGGCUCGCGGCCUAUCAGCUUGUUGGUGGGGUGAUGGCCUACCAAGGCGUCGACGGGUAGCCGGCCUGAGAGGGCGACCGGCCACACUGGGACUGAGACACGGCCCAGACUCCUACGGGAGGCAGCAGUGGGGAAUAUUGCACAAUGGGCGAAAGCCUGAUGCAGCGACGCCGCGUGAGGGAUGACGGCCUUCGGGUUGUAAACCUCUUUCAGCAGGGAAGAAGCGCAAGUGACGGUACCUGCAGAAGAAGCGCCGGCUAACUACGUGCCAGCAGCCGCGGUAAUACGUAGGGCGCAAGCGUUGUCCGGAAUUAUUGGGCGUAAAGAGCUCGUAGGCGGUCUGUCGCGUCUGGUGUGAAAUCCCGAGGCUCAACCUCGGGCUUGCAUCGGGUACGGGCAGACUAGAGUGCGGUAGGGGAGACUGGAAUUCCUGGUGUAGCGGUGGAAUGCGCAGAUAUCAGGAGGAACACCGAUGGCGAAGGCAGGUCUCUGGGCCGCAACUGACGCUGAGGAGCGAAAGCAUGGGGAGCGAACAGGAUUAGAUACCCUGGUAGUCCAUGCCGUAAACGUUGGGCACUAGGUGUGGGGCUCAUUCCACGAGUUCCGUGCCGCAGCUAACGCAUUAAGU
rnacentral:rRNA from 1 species